rnacentral:rRNA from 1 species
CAAUAGCGUAUGUUAAAGUUGUUGCAGUUAAAAAGCUCGUAGUUGGAUUUCUGGUUGAAGCGACCGGUCGGGCGUUGAUUCGUCUGCACUGGAGUCGGUUUUGGCCAUCCUCUAGGAAAGUGCGUCUGGUAUUAAGUUAUCGGGCGUAUGAUCCUGGUCUUUUACUGUGAAAAAAUUAGAGUGUUUAAAGCAGGCCUUCGCCUUGAAUACAUUAGCAUGGAAUAAUAAGAUAGGACUUUGGUCUAUUUUGUUGGUUUGCAGACCGAAGUAAUGAUUAAUAGGGAUAGUUGGGGGUAUUUAUAUUCCGAUGUCAGAGGUGAAAUUCUUAGAUUUUCGGAAGAUAAACUUAUGCGAAAGCAUUUACCAAGGAUGUUUUCAUUAA